ACAACUCCUGGAAAUCUGUGGCCAUCUCCAGAGCACAACUUCCAAACGCAAUGCACUAGCACACCAGGGCAGUGGAGACCGGACACCGAGAUAGUCAAGAUCAUCUUUCCUGUUGAUUCUUUUACGGGCUCUGCCGACACUGCGCUUCACUGAGAAAGAGUGAACUUUUCCCCCAAGAGAGGUUAUAUCAGAGCAUGAAAGAAACAAGAUAUUCAAUGAAAAAUACUACUUUUUGGUUUUCCUGGAUGGAAAAAGUUUGAUACGUGUGGGUUUUUCAUGGAUGACAGCUCUACUCCAGAAGGAGCUGGGCCAGAAAGAUAAGCAGGAAGAAGCACAAAGCUCUGAAUCUGCAUAAAGACAGUACUUAACCUGUUACAUCAAAAGAUGCGGACAUACAGAAGACUAACAUGAAACAUGGAAACUUCUAAAAAACGUAAAGCAUGAACAUCUGCAGAAACAAACAAAACAAAAUAAGCCAUCAACAAACAAAAAAAACCACCUUAAAUGGCCCUUAUAAAAUACGAAGGUUUGGGGAAGGUCUUAGAGUAUGUUCACUUACCAUUUGUCCAAUACCCUGGGCUCAGCAGAAGGAAUUACUCCACACAAUUACAACUGAGAACCAGAUCGAGAAAGGUCACAAAGAACCAAUACCUUUUU